rnacentral:rRNA from 1 species
GACGAACGCUGGCGGCGUGCUUAACACAUGCAAGUCGAACGGAAAGGCCCUGCUUUUGUGGGGUGCUCGAGUGGCGAACGGGUGAGUAACACGUGAGUAACCUGCCCUUGACUUUGGGAUAACUUCAGGAAACUGGGGCUAAUACCGGAUAGGAGCUCCUGCUGCAUGGUGGGGGUUGGAAAGUUUCGGCGGUUGGGGAUGGACUCGCGGCUUAUCAGCUUGUUGGUGGGGUAGUGGCUUACCAAGGCCUUGACGGGUAGCCGGCCUGAGAGGAUGACCGGCCACAUUGGGACUGAGAUACGGCCCAGACUCCUACGGGAGGCAACAGUGGGGAAUAUUGCACAAUGGGCGGAAGCCUGAUGCAGCAACGCCGCGUGCGGGAUGACGGCCUUCGGGUUGUAAACCGCUUUCGCCUGUGACGAAGCGUGAGUGACGGUAAUGGGUAAAGAAGCACCGGCUAACUACGU